AAUCAUGUGCAUUGAAGAUGGAGAAAGGGGUCACAAGUCAAAGAAUAUGAGAAUCUCUGGAAGCUGAAAAAGGCAAGGAAAUACAUUCUCCUCUACAGCCUCCAGAAGGAACUCUCCCUGCUGGCAGCUUGACUUGAAAGCCCAGAGAAACUAAUUUUGGACUUUCGGUUUCCAGAACUGUAAAAGGAUAAAUUUGUGUCGUUGUAAGCCACCAAGUUUGUGCUGGCUUUGUUACACUAGCAGUAGGUAACUCGUGUACACCACCUCGAAAUGAUCUGGCUCGCGUUUUCUUCCUCCCGACCUGAAUCGAACUUCGGAAUAGGAGAUAAGAUAAAAACAGCAGUGAAAAGGGUAUGCAUUGGAACUGAAACUCUCUCAGCCAGCAAAAGCAGAGAAGACUCUCAUCAGGCAGCAAGUAGCAUUUGGACACACCUUCAAAAGAUGGGGUAAGAUUUGGACACUUGAAGAUUGCUGAGAAAUGAGAAGAAGACAUUAAGCAGAGUGCAAGCAUAGUAGACAAUGAACAUGGAGCCUAAAGCAGAGCAUAGAAAACGGAGGACAACAUCGGGAAACUGGAUGGCUGGAAAGCGUGUGAACAUGUGUAGAGAAAAGAAAAAUGGGAAACUUUAUAUCCUGAAGUCCUGGUUAAAGAGAGUUUGGUCCAAGAGGUUCCCGCAGGAGGCAAGAAACCAGCCGGAGAAGUUCAUAGGCAAAUAA
ensembl:lncRNA